GAUGAACGCUGGCGGCGUGCUUAACACAUGCAAGUCGAACGAAGACGUCUGAGUGCUUGCACUUGGAUGGACUGAGUGGCGGACGGGUGAGUAACGCGUGAGGACUUGUCUUAUACAGGGGGACAACAGUUGGAAACGGCUGCUAAUACCCCAUAAGCCUUCGGGUAAAAGGAGCAAUCCGGUAUUCGAGAGACUCGCGUCCUAUCAGCUAGUAGGUGAGGUAACGGCUCACCUAGGCGAAGACGGGUAGCCGGCCUGAGAGGGCGAACGGCCACACUGGAACUGAGACACGGUCCAGACCCCUACGGGAGGCAGCAGUGGGGAAUAUUGGGCAAUGGGGGCAACCCUGACCCAGCGACGCCGCGUGAGUGAAGAAAUCCCUCGGGAUGUAAAGCUCUGUUGUGUGGGAAGAUAAUGACGGUACCACACGAGGAAGCCCCGGCAAACUACGUGCCAGCCGCCGCCGUAACAC
rnacentral:rRNA from 1 species